AUGAGCUCUUUCUUUAGGAUCUCGGAUCAAUAAGAUUCUCUUGACUGGGAAAGGAUAUUUUGGUCUUUUAUUUGCCGGUAAUGAUUGGCCCUGCACAGGAAAAAUUUCGUGAACGAAUCAAAAUAGCCAAAUAGGGAUGAAGAGAAGAAUAACAAAAAUGACAUUAUUUAAUUAAUAAUGUUGAAAAUUUGAGAUAAACAUAAACAGACAAGACCAGGCAACACAAAAGACAAAAAACGGUUAAUUUGAGAAGGGGGAAAGAAGAUAUGAAAGAGUUGCAUUAUCGGUUACCAAUGGCAAUGGAACAAAGAAACAAUAAAACGGUUAGACAAUUAAAAACAAAUGAAAUAUGAUCUUCUCAACUCUGCAAUCCAUUUUUCAUUACAAAAUUAUAAUUAACGUGUUUUGUUGUUGUUUAAGUAUUAAUUAAGAUUUUUGUUUAUGUGCUCAACAAGAUAAUUUAUCAAAUCAAUGGGAACAAACAAUUAGCAUGCUGUUCACUUGAGUUUAUUUUAACUAACAAAGCUUAUUCCAGAUCAUGUCUUAUGACGAUAUCGUUUGGUUGUGUUUUUUUCAUACAAAAAUGGAUCAAAUAUUUUUCCGAAUAUUGUGAACUUUGGAGUUACAUGAAUUUAAGGAAUUGAAAUAGAUGGGUCAAACAAACAAGCAAUUUAUUAUCUACUUUGUAAUGAAUGCGUACGUCUUGCUUACUUGGGACGGCAGAUUGUGAUUUGCAACAUAAUUUGGUCCGUUAUAAUUUGGCUGAUAAUCAGUUGUCACUGGUCGAUUAAUUCCGUUCCCUGGUUUUUGGAUGAGAAGAAAGAAAUAUUCCAUUGGAUAAAGAAGCAAUCAAAGAAUGGUGCCAGCGAACAUUUUUUUGGCUUAAAAUUUGACAGAUACAAAGGAAUGGAGUAAAAUUAGAAGUCACGUCCAGUUGAAAUUUGAUCGGUUUGAAAUGAUCAAGUCAUUCCUCAGCGAAUGCUUUAAAGUCAUAAUUCAAUUCAUUUUUCACAGCAAUAGUGAAAUAAAUACUUCAUUGUCUUCCGAUGAAAUUGAAUCCCAUUAGAAUAACGUUUUAAAAAUGUGUGUUACCUAAAUAAUGUUACUUGAUUGAUUCUUCUGGAAAGCAAAAGUAUUUUUAUCCACUAACAUGGAAACAUAAUGAACAUUUUCUUAUAUUUGUUAUUGCUGUAAUAAUGAAGUUCGUGUUAUCUUGAACAAAAAUGCAAUCAAACAUUGUUUAAAGCAAAUCUGGUUCAGUAUACUUUCAAUUCAUUGAAAGAUAUCUUUUAUUAUUUCUCAAAAUUUUUAAAGGUUAUCCCAUCAUCAACGUAACAAUCUGUUAACCUUUUUUGAUCGACUCUGAUAGAGGCCUGUGAAGAUGAAAGGGGCGAAGGAAAAACGUAGGAAAGGAUGGAAAAGAAGAGAACAAAAAAAAGUACAAAGAAAAGAAUAAUAUAUUCAAAUGAAAUUAAAAAGAAACUAUAAAUAUUUAAUCACAAUGGUGCAGGUAAAAAUAUCGUGUUCAACUGAAGCAGGCAACAAUCAAAAGGAGCAAAAGAUGUGUAAUUUAUUGGUGAAAGCCACAGCCAAUUCGUAUCAUGCAUAUACACACUUCUUUUUCUCAA